UACGUAGGUGACAAGCGUUGUCCGGAUUUCCUGGGCGUAAAGCGCGCGCAGGUGGUUUCUUAAGUCUGAUGUGAAAGCCCACGGCUCAACCGUGGAGGGUCAUUGGAAACUGGGAGACUUGAGUGCAGAAGAGGAAAGUGGAAUUCCAUGUGUAGCGGUGAAAUGCGUAGAGAUAUGGAGGAACACCAGUGGCGAAGGCGACUUUCUGGUCUGUAACUGACACUGAGGCGCGAAAGCGUGGGGAGCAAACAGG
rnacentral:rRNA from 1 species